rnacentral:rRNA from 1 species
CGGUGACGAUAGCGAUGAGGUCCCACCUGUUCCCAUGCCGAACACAGAAGUUAAGCUCAUCUACGCCGACGAUACUUGGCUGGCAACGGCCUGGUAAAAUAGGUAGUCGCCG